rnacentral:tRNA from 1 species
GGGGUUGUAGCUCAGUGGUAGAGCGCUUGCCUAACAUGUAUGAGGUACUGGACUCAAUCCUC